GUUCAAAUCUCUCGGUCUGUUAGGAUGCCUCAGCUGCAUACAUCACUGCACUUCCACUUGACACCUAUCGUAAUGAUAAACGGCUCGUCUUGCCGUGACCUUA
rnacentral:rRNA from 1 species